ACGACUACACUCCUACGGGAGGCAGCAGUAGGGAAUCUUCCACAAUGGACGAAAGUCUGAUGGAGCAACGCCGCGUGAACGAUGAAGGCCUUCGGGUCGUAAAGUUCUGUUGUAAGGGAAGAACAAGUGCCGCAGGCAAUGGCGGCACCUUGACGGUACCUUGCGAGAAAGCCACGGCUAACUACGUGCCAGCAGCCGCGGUAAUACGUAGGUGGCAAGCGUUGUCCGGAAUUAUUGGGCGUAAAGCGCGCGCAGGCGGCCUCUUAAGUCUGAUGUGAAAGCCCCCGGCUCAACCGGGGAGGGCCAUUGGAAACUGGGAGGCUUGAGUAUAGGAGAGAAGAGUGGAAUUCCACGUGUAGCGGUGAAAUGCGUAGAGAUGUGGAGGAACACCAGUGGCGAAGGCGACUCUUUGGCCUAUAACUGACGCUGAGGCGCGAAAGCGUGGGGAGCAAACAGGAUUAGAUACCCGAGUAGUCCACCAAUCC
rnacentral:rRNA from 1 species